UACGAAGGGGGGCUAGCGUUGUUCGGAAUUACUGGGCGUAAAGCGCGCGUAGGCGGAUAUUUAAGUCAGGGGUGAAAUCCCGGGGCUCAACCCUGGAACUGCCUUUGAUACUGGGUAUCGUGGAGUUCGGGAGAGGUGAGUGGAAUUCCGAGUGUAGAGGUGAAAUUCGUAGAUAUUCGGAGGAACACCAGAAGCGAAGGCGGCUCGACUGGCCCCGAUACUGACGCUGAGGCGCGAAAGCGUGGGGAGCAACAGG
rnacentral:rRNA from 1 species